UUCAAUUAACCCCUUCUCUUCUGAUGAUCGCAUGUUGGAGCUGGUGCAUUACUUUGCCAGCACCUGCAAUUCAGCCUCUUGCUUCCCCAUUCAUCAUCAUCAUCAUCAUCGUUUAGCGUCCGCUUUCCAUGCUAGCAUGGGUUGGACGGGUCAACUGGGGUCUGUGAAGCUGGAAGGCUUCGUCAGGCCCAGUCAGAUCUGGCAGUGUUUCUACGGCUGGAUGCCCUUCCUAACGCCAACCACUCCACGUCCAAAAGAUACUUAAACUUCUCCACUUGUGUUGGUGAUGUUCCACUAAAAUGCAGAAUACACUGAGAAGACUUUCUUGAGAGUCACCAGUGUCACGGUCUUCACAGUGCUAAUUCUCAUCCCUACCUUGUAGUACUCAGCAGUGAACCCAUUCAGUGCAUGCUGAAGGUCACAUUCUGAUGAGCCAAAUAACACUAUGUCUUUAAAUACCAGCUGACAGAUCCUUAACCCACUGAUUGUGAUACCACUAUUGCAGUGGCUGUGCAUGUUAAUCUCAUUUAUAAAAAUACACACCCCUACCUAUGUAAAAAGGUAACAACUUAGCACCACUUACCAUACACAAAUAUCAGGGCAUUUAUAUAAGAACUUCAUGGCAACUAGAUGCAAAAUAAUCCCAAAUUCUCCUCAGCAUAACUGCCACACGUGGUCAUAUGCUUUUCUGAGGUCUACAAAGAAAGCAUAUACAUCUUGGCAAAAUUCCCAUGAUUUCUCAAAGAUCUGCCAUAGUGUGACUAUCUGGCCAGUUUUGCUGCAUCCAAGAAAGAAGCCACAUAUUUCUUCAGUGAGUUCAGGCUAGACAACUUUCUUACAUAUCUUUUUUCUCAGACACCUAGCUUAGACUUCAUUGGGAAGGCUCAACAAUGCGAUUCCUGUAUAAUUAGAGCAUUCUCUCUUUCUCUUGUCUCCCUUUUUUUAAAAAUUGGUCUCAUCACCUGAGAUUGCCAUUGUUUUGGUGUCUUUCCAGAGAUCUUAGCCACUGGGCAAAUACUAGUUAGCCAUCUUUUCUAUUCAAGACUUUUAAUGUUUAGGGUUGCAUGUCAUCCUCUCCAGCAGCCUUGCUACAUUUAAGCACUUCAGUUCCCUUUAUGACUUCAGCCUCUUUGAGGGAAGUCUUCACUCUUAGAUGUACCUUGUGCCUACCAGAAGACUUAAUUGUGACAGGAUUUAGAUCAUCUCAAAGAUGCUCUUCUCUGUAGAGAGAAGAACUCCAGAUGAGUUCUUAAUGCUAUGUGUGGAAGAGGGCUUCUUGUUACAAAGUCAGUAGAUGGGCAGCCAGAAUCUGUUAUUGGCUGAUCUAAAGCUUGAGUCUAGUUUAACCCCCCCCCCCCCAAGCCCUCCCAUGACUUAGCCUUGGAUAUUUUUACUCUCUCUGCUGCAACUUUUUGCACCGCAGUGUACUACCUGUGCCAAAGGACGUGUUGUACAGAGAUCACGGAAUCUUUUGAAGCUGAGGUUCUACCUCUCUGCAUUGAGAUGUCACAGUUAUGGUACUACGGACAUGUGAUUAGAAUGUCAUAAGAAUCAAUCACAAGGUGGAUUCUUUAAGUGCCAACCAGCAUGAAACCUAGAACGAGAUGGCUAAAUAAUUUCCAUAGUCUCGGUUGUACUUGAGAAUCUAACUGGAAGAUCUAAUGAUAGUUGCUUCUGAUAGGACCCCAUGGAGAUGAUGCCAUGACCUAGUGGGUACAGGUGGAUGGAAAUUUCACUUCCAAUGUACUGGUUGACUUGUCUCUGUUGUUGAAGGGAUGCAGCAGUGUUGUGUUUCACCUGGAGCAAACCCCUUAAUUAAACAGCCACUUAUUUUUGGGUUGGAAACACUGUUACAGUUUGUAAUGGAACUGUAACAGUUGUUGUUCUAAUCUGAAACCAACAAACAUGCCUUGCCAUUGCCAUUCUGUCUUUAUUUCAAGAAGUGUAUCUAUGACCACAUUAUCUGAUGUGUUCUUCCUUUUGUUAAAACAGUCGGAUAGGAUUUAGGAAGGAUUUGGUUUCUUUUCCAGAUGCAUACAGUCUUCUAUGUGCUGCAAAAUAGUAAGGAACUGUGUGACAUUUCCUUGGUAAUUUCUAGUCACUUGAUUGUGCUCAGCUAAAAAUCUAUAAUUUAUCCAGUAUAGUUUUUUAAUCUAUUGAAUUAUACUGUAAAAAA